ensembl:lncRNA
GUGACCUAAGAAUGAGCACUGCGCAUGUGCGGGUGUACAGUUGAACUCAGGUGGCUUUUGGACCCAAAAUAAUUUUGUGGAAACACGUUUGCAUUAAAAUGAAACCAACAAAUGAACGCCAGCUACAGUAACGGCAGCGAAAAGGUUUGCGAACGGACAGACUUUAAACAGCAGAAGAGGCGGAGUAGCUAAAGACUGACUGUUUUGGUUUUAUUUUUUCGCGGAGCUAAUAUUAAUGCUAGCUAACAAUGCUAACAACAACAACACCGGCACGAAGCUGUGAAAUGACCCGUCAGCUCAUUGCACUGGAAUUAACUCUACUGCACGGAAGAAAGUCCAAGAAGAAACACCUGUUUCAAGUCUUAAAGUGCUUCUCCAGCGACUGGGGGUUGCUUGGUGCCGGAUGGAGAUGGUGGCUUGCCAUGAGUGGUCUGCGUAGGACUGGCGAGUGUGAUGGCCUGGACAUUGUUUACUCAGACUGAACAGCAAACUAGCGAGGGAGGGUCGUCUGCUGAUUGAGCCACACCUGGGAUCAAGUGGCUCAAACGGCUUAAAAGCUCCCUCACUUCCAGCGUCCCUCUCUAUCUCCCCACACAUCCACCAACCACUGGAACACAUCUCCAAAGUUCUGCUGGACCAGCUCAGCUUCCCCUCAGAAGAAGUGCCACCACCUGCCAGAUGAAGGAGCCUUUUGAGAGGCAGCUGGCAUCGUGAUUGGACUGUACUUUGGUCUGUUCCAAUCCAGCUUCAGCUCCAGAGACGGCAGGCGGGACGAGUCAACGGAGGCCGGCUGGACGAAGACAUGCAGCUGAGUACAAUCUAGAAAACAACAGAGGAGGAGGAAACAAACGUAGUAGUAUAGUAGAAAAUAUACAUAGUAUAUUGUAUAAAUAACAAGUCAAAUGAGAGAGACAUACAUUGUAGAAUUGCAGUAAUUGUGGGCUGACUGAUUUACUGAUUAUCAGUAUUUUAUUUUUUACCGGUAAUAAAUACAUUUACUUUGACUCUGAACCUUUAUCUACCUGUGGUCGCUCUGUCUUCUGGAGUGAUUUGAUUGAUUAUAUGUCACAAAAACGUCUCCUUUAACUUAACAUCUGUAAAACACGAAUAAACAAAAU